rnacentral:rRNA from 1 species
AAGGUGGAUUUGUGAGUAAUUAUUUUUGUAGCUUUAAUAAGUGAAGGGUGGAAUAACAUGUGUACAUAUUGCCCGUCGCUCUCGCUAUUUUUGAGAUAAGUCGUAACAUAGUUGAUGAACUGGAAAGUGUAUCUUUUUGA